rnacentral:rRNA from 1 species
UAAAGGUAUUCCGGUAGACGAUGGGGAUGCGUUCCAUUAGAUAGUAGGCGGGGUAACGGCCCACCUAGUCUUCGAUGGAUAGGGGUUCUGAGAGGAAGGUCCCCCACAUUGGAACUGAGACACGGUCCAAACUCCUACGGGAGGCAGCAGUGAGGAAUAUUGGUCAAUGGGCGAGAGCCUGAACCAGCCAAGUAGCGUGAAGGAUGACUGCCCUAUGGGUUGUAAACUUCUUUUAUAAAGGAAUAAAGUCGGGUAUGGAUACCCGUUUGCAUGUACUUUAUGAAUAAGGAUCGGCUAACUCCGUGCCAGCAGCCGCGGUAAUACGGAGGAUCCGAGCGUUAUCCGGAUUUAUUGGGUUUAAAGGGAGCGUAGAUGGAUGUUUAAGUCAGUUGUGAAAGUUUGCGGCUCAACCGUAAAAUUGCAGUUGAUACUGGAUAUCUUGAGUGCAGUUGAGGCAGGCGGAAUUCGUGGUGUAGCGGUGAAAUGCUUAGAUAUCACGAAGAACUCCGAUUGCGAAGGCAGCCUGCUAAGCUGCAACUGACAUUGAGGCUCGAAAGUGUGGGUAUCAAACAGGAUUAGAUACCCUGGUAGUCCACACGGUAAACGAUGAAUACUCGCUGUUUGCGAUAUACUGCAA